CCAACCAUUUGGGAGGGUGUAAAUAUCAAAUCCCAGAAACUCAUAUCCCUCCCUCUUUCUCACAUAAACAAAGGAUAUUAUUAUAUCAGGGCCUACUCCGGCGUGCAGGCUCUGCAAUCCUCUCUUUAGAAAUUGCAGAGAGCGAAGGAGAGAAAGAAAGAGGAUCGAAAACCCUUUGCAUUUCAUUGAAAUUAGGGUUUCUUUUCCCUUUUCCUCGCAUUUCUCUCCGAUCUGCUUCAGAUUCUUGAAGAUUCACAGAUCUCUGAAAAUACUUCGAUCGAUCACGAGAAUCUGAUGUGGCGGGUUUAAAUCUCGAGGUUUUGGAGAGAAAUUGUUGUUCUGCUCGAUCUCUUAUUUCUCACCUCCUCUUGGUUUCAUUUGAUUUCUGAAAAUUGGCGCCGCAGCGCCAGGCGGAGUAGCGCCACAUGGGUGACCAGAUGCAUCAGAGCAAUGCUGCAGCGGCGGCCGCUCUGUACGAUGCAGGGCCUGCGAGUAGUGACACAGGUGAUGUGGUCAUGGCACGGUGGCUCCAGUCCGCAGGGUUGCAACAUCUGGCUUCUCCAUUGGCCUCGACUGGGAUCGACCAUCGCCUCCUUCCCAAUCUCCUCAUGCAGGGUUAUGGAGCACAAUCUGCCGAGGAAAAGCAGAACCUUUUUAAAUUGCUGAGGGACCUGAAUUUCAAUGGUGAAUCGUAUUGCUAUAGAAACCCCUGAAACUGAACCUAGGCGCGAGCAACUGUAUCACUACUUGUCUUUUGGUUGGCUUUGUGGUGGAAUUAUAGAGGUAAUCUCCUCUUCUUACUUUAGCAUGCUCAAAUUGUAUGAAGAUUUACCUUCGAUUCUUUUACAAUUUUAUAACGUCAAUUCUUCAAAUUAGAAAGGAUUUCUAAUUAGGCCCAAUUUUGGUUUGCAAACAUGAAGGGAAAUGACAUGUACACCCUUUUUUUUAUAUAUGUACAGACAUCCUUUCUUCUCGCUUUUGGU